rnacentral:ribozyme from 13 species
AACAUGCAUUCGUCGUGUGUUAAAAAAAAAAAAAAAAAAAAAAAAAAAAAAAAAAAAAAAAAAA